UGCUGGUACUCAUGGCCUAUGGAGAAAACAUUGGGUAUUACAGAGAUUCAGAUGCAGUGGAUUAACGAAGAGACUGCUUGGUUAAGUGAGGAGACUCUUUAGCUCAUUCUUUGAUCUAUUUGAUUUUAGGAGGUUUGUUUUAUGGGGACACUAGGAAAGAAGCAUACUCCAAACUCUUGGUAUGAUUCUCCCAAUAGUCAUAGUAAUAGUCUCCCUAGUGCACCGUAUUCUCUCACAGGUUUCAAAUGCUUGCAUGGAGCCAUCUCUACAAUGUCAAGUGGUCUCUCUUCAACUGGAAUGACAAGAGCUGAAAAAAAUGUGCUACUAUGAGGACACCAUAACCUAUGCAUAAUGUGCUGAGAAUGGAAAUGCAAAAUGAUGAGACCAUCAAGCUUCAGAUGAUCAUGCAACAAGGGUUCCAGUCAGUUCCAGGUGAAGACACCAACCCUGGCCAUCAAGGAAUUAACCUGCCUCCACUAAACAGAGCAAGAACAUGUUGAGCCACUGAAGAUUCACACAAGAACUGAAAUGAAGCUGCAUAGGCAACUGUUGGGGCUUAUAGUAAUCACGAUGUCAAAAUGGUUCCAAUCUGUUGACUAGAUUAUGAAGACCUUUAAUUGUUGAAAAGACUUCUGUAUCGUGGCAAUCUGUAGCACAUUCAUAUUAAAAAAUGCACACUGCACUUACCAAUGAGGUUAGGCAUACAGAGGACAUUUGUCAUGUUCUACCCUACUCUUUUUGUCUUACAACAUUUGUAUUUUCAAAAUGUGGAUGCCAUAGUGUUCAGAUUAUUGACUAUGCUCUUAACCCUCCUUUAUUGCCUCCUAAAAGCAGAACUGGACCAACCAACCCAGGCUUGUAAACAAGUACAAAAUAUCUCUCAGCUCAUAUGGUUACUUUUCUUAUCCCAC